GAGAGAGAGAGAGAGAGAGAGAAAGAGAGAGAAUCCCAAGCAGGCUCCAUGCUCUGCUUGGAGCCCAACACAGGGAUCCCCCUCACUACCCUGGGAUCACAACCAGAGCUGAUAUCUAGAGUCCAACGCUGAACCGACUGAGCCACCCAGGUGCCCCACAUUGUCAAGGUUUUUAACAUUUAUUUCUGUAAUGAAUGUACAUCCUCAGUGUUUCGUUGAUUCUCACACAUUUUCAGGGAAACGGGAGUUGUUCUGAUUUUCGGUUGGUUGGUUUUCUUUUUUCCCUUCCUCUCUGGAAGCAUUCAGAAUGUUUUCUGUACCUUCUGUGUUCUCAAAUUUUACAGCUUAGAGUCAAUGGUAGAAUAUGUAUGUAUGUAUGUAUGUAUGAAUGUAUUUUCAUUUAUCCUGCUCAGAAUUCAACGUCACUUUUAACCAGCAAACUUAUGUUUUUCUUGAGUUCAGUUGAAAUGGUCUGCAAUUAUCUUAGGUAUUAAGUCUCAAUUUGGUGACAUGGGCUUAGCACAAGUGACUCCAUUUUGGAUUUAUUCUCUCUCUCUUUUUUUAAACUGUAAUAUAAAAUAUAUUUAGUCUCCAGCCCCGUUCCCAGCACAAAGCUCCUAAAAUCAUUGGAAUUUCCUAAGUGAUUAAGAGUGAUAAAAGUGUCAUUUAUCAUUCAUAACAAGCUGCUUUCAACCACACCUAAGAUUAUGUUAAUGAGAUGACUUUUGGAAAACCCCUCUGGAUGGGGUCUGGUUGCCAGAAGAACAACAAAAUUAGAUGGUUGGAACUUGCAACCCCACAUCCCCUCAAAUCCCCUUACAACACCUCUGGGGAGGGGAGAAGAGAUAGAGGUUGAAUCAAUCACCAAUGGCCAAUGAGUUCAUCAAUCAUGCCUAUGUAAUGAAGCCUCCAUAAAAACCCAAAAGGACAGAACUCAAAGAGGUAAUAGUGAACAAGAAUAAAUGCACAUUCUAGAAGGAUGACUAAACUCCACAGGGACAAAAGCUUCUGUCUUCAGAACCUGACAGACCUUGCUCUAUGUAUCUCAACAUCUGGUUGUUAGUGUCCUUGAACAUCUUUUGUAAUAAACCUGUAAUCUAUAAAAUUUGUUAGAGCAAAAUCUAGUCCGUCUAGUGUCCUAAUGAGAGGACCCAGUUAAAGAAACCAAGAAGGAGCAGUGAGCAAAAUGAGAGGACAGCAAGGAAGAGAAAAUCAUGUGAUCAUGAAAAUUAAAGAAGCCAUGGGGAAUUUGUCACUAAUAAAACAACAAAAAUUCAGUAAAACUUUUAUCCUCAUUGAUAA